GAGGCUUUGCGGUGGCUGCUUGGCUUGGCGGUGGUCGCUUGGCUUGGCGUGGCAGUGAUCGCUUGGCUUGGCAUUUCUGGCUUGGCGGUCCUCCUUUCGCAGAUUGGAAACCGCGGGCUAUCCUGCUGGGAGGUUGUGGCCGAGGCAGUAGCUCGCUACUGAUGGCCUCCUGGGGUGGAGAAAAGCGGGGAGGGGCUGAGGGGUCUCCGAAGCUGGCAGUCUACGCCACGAGGAAGACCCGUAGCGUCAGGAGCCAGGAGGACCAGUGGUACUUGGGCUACCCGGGGGACCAGUGGUCUUCGGGCUUCUCCUACAGCUGGUGGAAAAAUAGCGUCGGCAGCGAGAGCAAGCACGGUGAGGGCGCCUUAGACCAGCCCCAGCACGACGUCCGCCUGGAAGAUCUUGGCGAGCUCCACAGAGCUGCCCGGUCGGGCGACGUCCCUGGGGUGGAGCACGUCUUGGCUCCUGGAGACACUGGCGUGGACAAGAGGGAUAGGAAGAAGAGCAUUCAGCAACUAGUUCCUGAAUAUAAGGAAAAACAGACACCUGAAAGUCUUCCUCAAAAUAACAAUCCAGAUUGGCAUCCUACUAAUUUGACCCUUAGUGAUGAGACUUGUCAGAGAUCCAAGAAUCUGAAAGUUGGUGAUAAAAGUCCAUCUGUAUCACCAUCAAUGCCUGAAAAUCAGUCAGCAACCAAAGAACUGGGACAGAUGAACUUAACAGAACGAGAAAAAAUGGACACUGGAGUUGUACUUCUCUCAGGGAAUGAUACUCUCCAUGACCUGUGCCAAUCACAGCUACCAGAAAACAAAGAGAGCAAAGAAGCAGAACAAGACUUGGAGCUGACAUCAGAGGAAGAGCAAGAAAGACUUAAAGGAUGCGAAAAUAAGCAGCCACAGGACAAAGCUAUUUUUAAAACAUGUAGCCCAACAGAGAAGACACGCAAGAAACAAAACAAGCAAAUUAAUCUUCCACUUUUGCACCUGCAGAAAACGUCUCAAGAACCAGAAAUGGCUAAGGAUUGUGAUAGAGAGGAUAUACCUAUAUAUCCAGUACUUCCUCAUGUGCAAAAAUCUGAGGAAAUGUGGAUUGAACAAGGCAAAUUAGAGUGGAAAAACCAAUUAAAACUCGUCAUAAAUGAGUUAAAGCAGAGGUUUGGUGAAAUUUAUGAAAAAUACAAAAUUCCGGCUUGUCCUGAGGAAGAGCCACUACUUGAUAACUCUACAAGAGGAACAGAUGUGAAGGAUAUUCCCUUUAAUUUGACAAAUAACAUACCUGGUUGUGAGGAAGAAGAUGCAUCUGAAAUAUCUGUCUCAGUGGUAUUCGAGACAUUUCCUGAACAAAAAGAACCCAGUCUCAAAAAUAUCAUCCAUCCAUACUAUCAUCCGUACUCUGGGUCCCAGGAACAUGUUUGCCAGUCAUCUUCUAAGCUUCAUUUACAUGAAAAUAAAUUAGACUGCGACAAUGAUAACAAACUAGGCAUUGGACAUAUUUUUAGUACAGAUAACAACUUUCAUAAUGAUGCAAGCACUAAGAAAGCAAGGAACCCAGAAGUGGUUACGGUUGAAAUGAAAGAAGACCAAGAGUUUGAUUUGCAAAUGACAAAAAAUAUGAACCAAAAUAGUGACAGUGGCAGUACAAAUAACUAUAAAAGCCUGAAACCUAAAUUAGAAAAUCUGAGUUCUUUACCACCAGAUUCUGACAGAACAUCAGAAGUAUAUCUACAUGAAGAAUUACAGCAAGACAUGCAAAAGUUUAAGAAUGAGGUCAACACAUUAGAAGAAGAGUUCCUGGCUUUGAAGAAAGAAAAUGUUCAACUUCAUAAAGAGGUUGAAGAAGAAAUGGAGAAGCACAGAAGUAAUAGCACAGAAUUAUCAGGAACCCUAACUGAUGGUACUACUGUUGGCAAUGAUGAUGAUGGACUAAAUCAGCAGAUUCCUAGGAAGGAAAAUGAAGAGCAUGACAGGCCUGCAGAUAAAACAGCUAAUGAAAAGAACAAGGUAUUGUAAAAAA
ensembl:lncRNA CCDC144BP coiled-coil domain containing 144B, pseudogene